rnacentral:tRNA from 1 species
GUCUCCAUAGCUCAACUGGAUAGAGCAGACGGUUCCUAUCCGUCAGGUUGUAGGUUCGAGUCCUACUGGGGAUGCUA